UGGCUGUGUCGCUCCGAAGACGUCGCUCCCGGCUUGCUCAGAAACCAUAGACGCGAGCGACCUUAGGGUGUUGCUCUAGGAGGUCGCUCCCGGCUUGUUUGUCGCUCUCAAAUCGACACAACCCGAGCGACCUCUGGGUGUCGCUGCGGUGAGGUCGCUCUAGGAGCUGGAGCGACUUCGCCUUGUCGCUCUAGGAGGUCGCUCAGAAGCGUAGAUGGCGAGCGAGUUCAUGGCGUCGCUCCGGUAGGUCGCUCCCAUGCAUUGCUCGUCCA
rnacentral:lncRNA from 1 species